rnacentral:rRNA from 1 species
GACGAACGCUGGCGGCGUGCUUAACACAUGCAAGUCGAACGCUGAAGCCCGGCUUUUGUUGGGAGGAUGAGUGGCGAACGGGUGAGUAACACGUGAGUAACCUGCCCCCUCCUUUGGGAUAACGCCCGGAAACGGGUGCUAAUACUGGAUAUUCACUGGCCUUCGCGUGUGGGCUGGCGGUAAGGGUUCUUCUGGUGAGGGAUGGGGUCGGGGCUUGUCAGCUUGUUGGUGGGGUGAGGGCGUAGGAAGGGUUAGACGGGUAGCCGGCCUGAGAGCGUGACCGGUCAGAGAGGGAGUGAGGCACGGCCCGGACUGCGACGCGGGGCAGAAGUGGGCAAUAGUGAGCAAUGGGCGAAAGCCUGAUACGGCGGCGCGGCGGGAGGAGUGGAGGCGUGCGGGUUGUGAAGCUCUUUCGGUUGUGGUGAAGCCGUAACAAUGGUGGUAGUGACGGUACUGGGUGAAUAAGCGCCGGCUAACUACGUG